GAUGAACGCUGGCGGCGUGCCUAAUACAUGCAAGUCGAGCGAACGGACGAGAAGCUUGCUUCUCUGAUGUUAGCGGCGGACGGGUGAGUAACACGUGGAUAACCUACCUAUAAGACUGGGAUAACUUCGGGAAACCGGAGCUAAUACCGGAUAAUAUUUUGAACCGCAUGGUUCAAAAGUGAAAGACGGUCUUGCUGUCACUUAUAGAUGGAUCCGCGCUGCAUUAGCUAGUUGGUAAGGUAACGGCUUACCAAGGCAACGAUGCAUAGCCGACCUGAGAGGGUGAUCGGCCACACUGGAACUGAGACACGGUCCAGACUCCUACGGGAGGCAGCAGUAGGGAAUCUUCCGCAAUGGGCGAAAGCCUGACGGAGCAACGCCGCGUGAGUGAUGAAGGUCUUCGGAUCGUAAAACUCUGUUAUUAGGGAAGAACAUAUGUGUAAGUAACUGUGCACAUCUUGACGGUACCUAAUCAGAAAGCCACGGCUAACUACGUGCCAGCAGCCGCGGUAAUACGUAGGUGGCAAGCGUUAUCCGGAAUUAUUGGGCGUAAAGCGCGCGUAGGCGGUUUUUUAAGUCUGAUGUGAAAGCCCACGGCUCAACCGUGGAGGGUCAUUGGAAACUGGAAAACUUGAGUGCAGAAGAGGAAAGUGGAAUUCCAUGUGUAGCGGUGAAAUGCGCAGAGAUAUGGAGGAACACCGGUGGCGAAGGCGACUUUCUGGUCUGUAACUGACGCUGAUGUGCGAAAGCGUGGGGAUCAAACAGGAUUAGAUACCCUGGUAGUCCACGCCGUAAACGAUGAGUGCUAAGUGUUAGGGGGUUUCCGCCCCUUAGUGCUGCAGCUAACGCAUUAAGCACUCCGCCUGGGGAGUACGACCGCAAGGUUGAAACUCAAAGGAAUUGACGGGGACCCGCACAAGCGGUGGAGCAUGUGGUUUAAUUCGAAGCAACGCGAAGAACCUUACCAAAUCUUGACAUCCUUUGACAACUCUAGAGAUAGAGCUUUCCCCUUCGGGGGACAAAGUGACAGGUGGUGCAUGGUUGUCGUCAGCUCGUGUCGUGAGAUGUUGGGUUAAGUCCCGCAACGAGCGCAACCCUUAAGCUUAGUUGCCAUCAUUAAGUUGGGCACUCUAAGUUGACUGCCGGUGACAAACCGGAGGAAGGUGGGGAUGACGUCAAAUCAUCAUGCCCCUUAUGAUUUGGGCUACACACGUGCUACAAUGGACAAUACAAAGGGCAGCGAAACCGCGAGGUCAAGCAAAUCCCAUAAAGUUGUUCUCAGUUCGGAUUGUAGUCUGCAACUCGACUACAUGAAGCUGGAAUCGCUAGUAAUCGUAGAUCAGCAUGCUACGGUGAAUACGUUCCCGGGUCU
rnacentral:rRNA from 1 species